GACAGAGGUCCCGAGCGUUAGGCGGAAUCACUGGGCUUAAAGCGUGUGUAGGCGGAUGCCUAAGUACCUUGUGAAAUCCCACGGCUCACCCGUGGAACUGCUCGGUAUACUGGGUGUCUUGAGCCACUUAGGGGCUACCGGAACAAAUGGUGGAGCGGUGAAAUGCGUAGAUAUCAUUUGGAACGCCAAUGGUGAAAACAGGUAGCUGGGAGUGUGCUGACGCUGAGACACGAAAGCCAGGGGAGCAAACGGGAUUAGAAACCCCCGUAGUCC
rnacentral:rRNA from 1 species